rnacentral:rRNA from 1 species
GACGAACGCUGGCGGCGUGCUUAACACAUGCAAGUCGAACGAAGAGCGAUGGAAGCUUGCUUCUAUCAAUCUUAGUGGCGAACGGGUGAGUAACGCGUAAUCAACCUGCCCUUCAGAGGGGGACAACAGUUGGAAACGACUGCUAAUACCGCAUACGAUCUAAUCUCGGCAUCGAGGAUAGAUGAAAGGUGGCCUCUAUGUAUAAGCUAUCACUGAAGGAGGGGAUUGCGUCUGAUUAGCUAGUUGGAGGGGUAACGGCCCACCAAGGCGAUGAUCAGUAGAGGGUAGGAGGGAAGAAGGGGCAAAAGUGGGACGGAAACAGGCCCCAGACCCCAAGGGGAGGAGCGAGGGGGGAUCUUCCGGAAAGGGAGGAAGGGCGGAGGGAGAAACCCGGCGGGGGGGAGGACGGCUGUGGGGUUAAAAAGUUUUGUUAAGGGGAAGGAAAGGCCUUUUGGCAAAUAGGGAGAAGGAUUGAGGGUACCGAAAUAGAAAGCCACGGAAAACUACGUG